CCAACAUGAAGUUUGUCAUUUCUAUAAUCCAUAGCUCUCAGAUCCCACUUUCCGACACUGAAGAAAUAAUUGAACUUCAUACAAGCAUGUGAAAAUCCUUCUUGGUGGAGCAACCAUAAUGGGUUUUCUUCUUGUUAGUUUUAUUUUAUUUAUAGUUUUUUUAGGUUUUUAUUUCCUAUUUAAACCUAUUUCAUGGUUUUUUAGGUUUUCUUUGAAAAAGUUCUACCUAUAAGAAAGAGUUAUGAAAUCUAACGAGGACGAAGUCAAUAGGGACGGGUGUCGGUUUCAGUGAUAAUGGUGCUAGCUCAAUUUUUGUGUAAAGGGUAUUUCUUUUUAGAAUACGUUAUCUAUUUUAGAGUUUUUUAAUGUUUUGAAUUUUUUCCUCUAUUCUUUCCCCUUUUUUUGUUCCAUUGAAGGUUUGUUUAGAUUUAAGGUUUUUUUUUUAAACUUUCUUUUCGUUUAAACCUUUUUUAUACUUUCUUUUUAAGGUAGUGGGUUCAACCCUUCUCAGUUUCUUCUUCUUCUUCUUCAAUUUUUUCUUUUUUGCUUCCCUCCGCCAUUCCAUUGUGCCUCUCUCAACCCCGCUUAAUCUCAACCUCUGCCACAUUUAAACAACAAAGUUUUUCAUUUCCUUCUGUCAAAGGAAGUAGAAAGUUUCCAACUUUACCAUUUUCAUCCACCAAAAGGUUCCUUGUCAAAGUUGUUGAGUACAAAUUCCCCAACCCAAUUCCGGAAUUCGCAGAUGUCGUGAGUUGUCUCUUCCAUUUUUGGCUUCUCUUCUCUGUAUUUGUUAACUAAUAAAUUAACUUCAUUUUCCAAUUUCUUUCUAUUCUUGUUUGUAUGUUUUUCGGGAGACGGAAAAAUUCAAAAGCCACCUUCUCCAAAAGCUUACAAAGAAGGAUAUAUAUGGAGAAUCCGUUGAGGAAGUUGUAGGAAUUUGAACCGAGGCAUCGCAGGAUAUUAUAGACAACUUAGUUAUUGAACAAGUUGUCUCUCUUAAAAUUGCAAGAGAAAACUACAAAGUUGGCCCUUGAUAAUACAUGUGAAAAAAUGAACGAGUUAUAAAGGAAUGUCGUCACUCUAGAAGAAAAACUCAAAGAAAAAAGUCAUUUAAUAAAUUCCAGAUGUUUUGAUAAGCAAUGACAAGGAGGAUAUUGAUUGUCUGACCAGAACCUGUCAUGAUGACAUUGGCGGUGAAAGGAAAAGGCAUGGUGUAAACAGCAUCAGUAGCUUACUCAUUCAUUUAUAUUUCACUUUCUGUAAUUUCUAAAAUAAAUAGCAUACUCAUUUACUUAUUGGUCCAAUAGCAUCAUAACUAUAAAUAUAAAAAAUAUAUUAUUUCUUCUAAAUUUUGAGAUACAGCAAAGAAAGUUUUGUUCUUUACUCGAUCAAGAGAACAUAAAAUUAGAAUUUUUGUGGUGAUAUUUUCUGAUUUGAUUUCAGGAGUUUGAGAUCAAACUAAAUGUAAGAGUUUACGUUUGUGUGUAACA